CCUACGGGUGGCAGCAGUGAGGAAUAUUGGUCAAUGGGCGGAAGCCUGAACCAGCCAAGUCGCGUGAGGGAUUAAGGCCCUGCGGGUCGUAAACCUCUUUUGCCGGGGAGCAGUGGUCCGGACGCGUCCGGACCGGGAGAGUACCCGGAGAAAAAGCAUCGGCUAACUCCGUGCCAGCAGCCGCGGUAAUACGGAGGAUGCGAGCGUUAUCCGGAUUUAUUGGGUUUAAAGGGUGCGUAGGCGGAUCGUUAAGUCAGUGGUCAAAUUGAGGGGCUCAACCCCUUCCCGCCAUUGAAACUGGCGCUCUUGAGUGGAAGAGAAGUAUGCGGAAUGCGUGGUGUAGCGGUGAAAUGCAUAGAUAUCACGCAGAACCCCGAUUGCGAAGGCAGCAUGCCGGCUUCCGACUGACGCUGAAGCACGAAAGCGUGGGGAUCGAACAGGAUUAGAUACCCCUGUAGUC
rnacentral:rRNA from 1 species